UACGUAGGGUGCAAGCGUUGUCCGGAUUUAUUGGGCGUAAAGAGCUCGUAGGUGGCCUGUCACGUCGGAUGUGAAAACCCAGGGCUCAACCCUGGGCCUGCAUUCGAUACGGGCAGGCUAGAGGAUGGCAGGGGAAACUGGAAUUCCUGGUGUAGCGGUGAAAUGCGCAGAUAUCAGGAGGAACACCGGUGGCGAAGGCGGGUUUCUGGGCCAUUCCUGACACUGAGGAGCGAAAGCGUGGGGAGCAAACAGG
rnacentral:rRNA from 1 species